UACGUAGGGUGCAAGCGUUAUCCGGAAUUAUUGGGCGUAAAGAGCUCGUAGGCGGUUUGUCACGUCUGCUGUGAAAACUGGAGGCUCAACCUCCAGCCUGCAGUGGGUACGGGCAGACUAGAGUGCGGUAGGGGAGAUUGGAAUUCCUGGUGUAGCGGUGAAAUGUGUAGAGAUCGGGAGGAACACCGGUGGCGAAGGCGGGUCUCUGGGCAUCUCCUGACGCUGAGGCGCGAAAGCGUGGGGAGCAAACGGG
rnacentral:rRNA from 1 species